rnacentral:rRNA from 1 species
UACAGAGGUCCCAAGCGUUGUUCGGAUUCACUGGGCGUAAAGGGUGCGUAGGUGGUGGGGUAAGUCGGAUGUGAAAUCUCCAAGCUCAACUUGGAAACUGCAUUGGAAACUACCUUGCUAGAGGAUUUGAAGGGGGAUUGGAAUACUUGGUGUAGCAGUGAAAUGCGUAGAUAUCAAGUGGAACACCAGUGGCGAAGGCGAAUCCCUGGAAAAUACCUGACACUGAGGCACGAAAGCUAGGGGAGCAAACAGG